GUGACAGGGAGCACGAUGGUCCAGAUGAGACCCAUGGGAAGGAGCUCUGCGUGAGUCCAGGACAGCCCCAGCCCACUGGUGCAGAAACUGGGGCACAGAGAGGCUAAGGGACCUGCCCUAUUUCCCACAGCAGUUACAGUGUGGAGAAGAGAUUGCAGACAAGGGCAAGAUAGAAGAAGCAGGGAGUCUGGUCAGGAGACCACUGCAAUAAAACAGAUGAGAUGGUGGUGGCUUGGACCAGGGCGAUAAUGGAGAAGAAGAUGAGAGGCAGAUGGGCUGGAAUAUAUUUUGGAAGCAGAGCUACCUGGGAUUGCUGUUGGAUUUGGACGCAAGGCAGGAGGAAGGGGGAUCAAUGAUGACUCCUUGGUGUGGGCCUAAGAGAUUGUUCACACAAACUUACUCCAUUCUGUAAAACGCCCACCCAACCCAUGAAGGAAGAGCCCUCUGUUCUUGGCAUUCAUCAUUCUUUCUUUCACAGUGAUGACUUAAAAGCAACUUCCAAGUCCAGGCCACAGGUCUUGGUGGCUUGGGAAUCCAAAGGGACUAAAGAAACAGCUUUGUAACCCUCAUGUGCCUCGUGUGAACGCCAAUGAGGCCUGGUUCAGAAUCACAGGCCUUCACUGUGUCACCGCCAGCCACACCCUGAGUGUCUCUGAGUCUCUGCUCCCUUUCUGUAAAAUGGUAAAAUGGGCAUCACAAAUACUUACUACUUCUCAGAGCUGUGGUGAAGAUAAGGGAUCCAAGGCACCUCCUGGUCACCAUUCAGUAAACAACGUUCUUCUCCAAUUCUCUUUCACUCACCCAAGGUCAAAGCUUCUCUUCUCUCCUGGCACCAUGAGCGUUUACAUCCUGAGAAGGUGAAAGGUGCAGGGUCCAGGCACAAGCACUUUGGCUGCAAUUAAAAAUCUGGGGGUGUUUGAAUGAAGGAGUAACACUCAGGGUCUGGAAGAACCAAAGGGUCACAGUCAGAAGCCCCUCAUUGUUACAAAUCCUUCUGGCUCGAGAAUAAUCCUGGUUAUUCCUGCCUCAUGGGCAAAGGAGCUCGCCCCAGCAGGGGAGCCAGAGAGACUGCACAACUCUUAAUUCACAAGACCUCCUGCAACACUGAAGACUGGACUUAGCUGAUACCCCUGCCCUGGGGAAGACUUGCAGGGUGCCGAGAAGACCACAGGAAGCAGUGGCCCCAGAGCAUCCAGGCUGUGAAGGAGGCAGUGGCUCUGAGAUGCCAGAGGGAAUGUGCUCAGACCUGAAUCGAUGGAACGGGAGGCCCCCGCCUCUGGGGAGGGAGUACGUGGUGCUGCUUCCUUCCCCCCCUGCACAAACUUACAUAGUCAAGCGACCCAGAAAAAUCGGGUCACAGGAAUGAAGGCUGUGACAUCAGACAUCCGAGGACACCAUGGACAUGCAGAAAAUGAAGUACCAGAUUCAAGUUUUGGACCCAAACUUUCAAAAGAAAUCACUUUCCUCUUAACCUGGAAGACUGCUUUCCUUGUAGGCCUCUUCUCUGCCUCAAAGGGUUAAGUUCGCUUAAUGUCCCUCACUUUGAACCUCACAAGUCACCUUUCUUCACUUCUGUUCACCCUCAUGUUAGACAACAGAUCCUCCCCACAUCUUAUUACUUUUCUACCCAAGAAGUCAAGAUGCCAGGGACAUGAAGUUCCCCAAACUAAAAUUUCCAAUCCCCUUGCCCUGUCUUACAGGGAAAAAAAAUUAAAAAUUCAAGUGCAUGGCAUUCGUUACCACUUAGUUCUGUUUUAAACACGAAUUUCCACUUCUUUAGGCAUGAAAAUUGGAAUCUGUUUUUGAGGACAGUUAAGAGAAACCUUUCAUACAGCGUUUAUUUGAGAAGAAAGAAGACACUGUGUUGAUGGCUCGUUUUGUUCUCUGAGAUUUAAGUAUACCUGUGUACCGGAGGCAGGUGCCAAGGAGGGAGCAAACGGGUGGAAUAAGCACUUGGGGAAGGCGAGAGGCAGAGAACGAAGCAGCGAAGGAAGCAGUAGACGAGGAAAGCGCUGGUAACCCAGGCAUUUUGCCUCCACCGCGGAACAGCAGGUUCAGCACCGCGGACAGCUCCCGCCUUUGUCUGGGUCCCGGCUCCGGCUCGCGGUGCGCUGCCAAGCGGCGCCAGCCGACGUGCCCCGGCCUCCUGCGACAAACCUGCUUGGGGAGAGAGAAAGAGCAGGGCCAGCACUCAAGGUGUUUCCCUCUUCUCCCCGCAUCCUCCGAACUCAGCCUGGUCCCUUCCCACCGCAUCUCGGCGGCCGUUUUUAACUGGUUUCCCGCGUGAUCUCGCUGCUGUCUACACAGUAUCAGGACAGGUACUGGGGGCCGCUGGGUCGCCCUGGCGAAUUCAGGUUCGGUUCGAAAUUCGUUUCACUGUCACUGCCCGAGGCUCCAGCCGCACACGAUUUGUCCCAGACAACACCCCUCCUUCGACCCCCAAAAAAGAGAUACGAGAAAGCCCGCGACGUGGAAAGCUCUCCGGGUGCUUGUGUCCGGGGCUGUGUACACGCAAGGGUCUCCCGGCCAAUCGAGCUUAGUCAACUGAGUCCCGCAAGCUCAAAUCCAGGGGUGCGAACCCCUAAGAGCUAGGAAGAAGAGAUAGCCUCUCGGACCAACGUUCUCUCCGCCGAAGAGUAAUGAAUUUCGUUCCCUUCGGAGCCGGCACCACCACCACCACCCCACCACCACCCUCCCCGGCCUCCCCGCAAGAACUCGGUAGCGUUUUCUUCCGCCUUUCCCGGCAAAGGCGUGUGGCUCGAGUUCAGCGAGCUUACAGGCUGCGCACGACAUUUCCUUCCUGGGUCCUUUUGUAGGAUGCAGGCCACAGGGACUUCUUCUCCGGUUCAUCUUCACCCAAAAUCUUGCUUCCCCCACGGAUGGCCGGGCCGCCCGCAGAAGCUUGCUCGAGAUCCCGCACCCACGUCCACAGACACGCACGCCUACGCUCUGCCCCGGGCCAAGAAAGUUGGGCGCUUCCUCCAAGCUUGCGAGAGUGGAGCCGCCACGCCGCCAAUUUGUUCGCGCAGGGGCGCCCCAGGGCGACGUUAGCCGCGAAAAUAAGUCAAAGAAAGGCCUCGGUGCAGGGGCCUGUGUGUGCUGGGAGCGAAGCAAGAGCUUUCUUCGUAGGCCCCCUACAGCUCGGCCCCCCCCCCCACCUGGGCACCGGGGAAGCACGAGACCGCCAACAACCGAGGCGCCCCAGACCUGCGCCGCAGAGAGUAGAUACAUAUUCGCCUCCCAAAUCAGACAUUUCGCCCCCUCCCCACCCAAAAAUGAAAACCUCCAGAAUGUUUCGUUUUCCCGACACAGCACUCUGCCGUCCCCGCCCCCUCCCCUGGCAAGCAGGAGGAGAAAGGGCGCCGCGCGAGCGCGAACCGCUCCGAGGACUUUUAGAGAACGCGGGGUCCCCGCGGCGGUGCCCGCGGAGCAGAAGCGCGCGCGGCGGGGUAAACAU